AGGCUAAAACUCAAAGGAAUUGACGGGGACCCGCACAAGCGGCGGAGCAUGCGGAUUAAUUCGAUGCAACGCGAAGAACCUUACCAAGGCUUGACAUAUAGAGGAAACGUCUGGAAACAGUCGCCCCGCAAGGUCUCUAUACAGGUGGUGCAUGGUUGUCGUCAGCUCGUGUCGUGAGAUGUUGGGUUAAGUCCCGCAACGAGCGCAACCCUCGUUCUAUGUUGCCAGCACGUAAUGGUGGGAACUCAUGGGAUACUGCCGGGGUCAACUCGGAGGAAGGUGGGGAUGACGUCAAAUCAUCAUGCCCCUUAUGUCUUGGGCUUCACGCAUGCUACAAUGGCCGGUACAAAGGGCUGCAAUACCGUGAGGUGGAGCGAAUCCCAAAAAGCCGGUCCCAGUUCGGAUUGAGGUCUGCAACUCGACCUCAUGAAGUCGGAGUCGCUAGUAAUCGCAGAUCAGCAACGCUGCGGUGAAUACGUUCCCGGGUCUUGUACACACCGCCCGUCAAGUCAUGAAAGUCGGUAACACCUGAAGCCGGUGGCCCAACCCUUGUGGAGGGAGC
rnacentral:rRNA from 1 species